AGCUUUAAAGCCCAGCUACGAGAAACCUCCUGCACCAUCCUGACAUUGCUAUUUCAAAUUCUGCCAGGUGAGUAAUGACUUCUGUCUUCAGUGACUGAUACAUUGCAAGAUCAAGGGCUGCAGACAGAUGAAGAGCACCAGUGUUCCAGCUGACCUCACUUUCCAAAAUGCAUCAUUCCUUCAAAUAAACGUCAUUGAGCACAGGCAGGCAGUGGGAUGACAGAACUCAAAGAUAAUCCUGCAUUAGCAGCAAUGUCCACUGACUGCAGGGAAAACACUGACAGCAGUAAAGGUGUCUGGGGCUGUGCUUUUGCAGCACGUUCCAAAGUAAAUAGUCUGAUUAGCUGGCUGCUGGUCCAGGCUGAUGUUGUCCAAGUUUUAUCUCCAUGCAGAAUGUGUCAGCCUCCCCCAGCAGCUCUGACUCUGGCGCUGAAUCACAGCCAAGCCUAUUUUAGAAUUAAAUGGAAGAUGACCUCGUUACCUGGCUCUCUCCAACCUCACUGUGAAAGCACUUGAGGACUGAGCCAGGGCUUUGCUGUCAGCAGCUAAAAACAAACCCCAAAGUGCACAAAAGCCCUGUUUUGUGGCACUGGUGUGAGGCCCUGUCACUAAUCUGUCUGUGGCACAAAUCCCUCCUGAGAAGCAGUUUUACCCCAGUCCACCAGCACGUGGCUUGCAAAUGUCCAUGAACCCACCCUCCCUUAACAGUUUAAUACAUCAGCAACUUCUCCAUGGGUUUUCCUACCUUUUAAAAGCAGAUAGCCUUAUUUCUGCCCUCCCCCAUGAGACAUCCUUAAUGAAAGAACAGUUUAAAUAUCUUCUAAAGGUGUAAAUUACCACAUUAGGGACUCUCCUAGAACGAACAACAGAGGAGGCACAUUAUCUACAUGAGUUAUGAAAACAGAUCAAACCAUUCUAAAGAAAAAACCAUUUCCUUCUUUAGUAAAGAAGGAAAUUUCCCUAUAAAUUAUUUUCCCUAUAAAUUCUAUUUCCCUAUAAAUGUCCUUAUUCAGAGGUGCAAACGUUCUAAUAGAAUUCUUACAAAACUUA